UGCAUUCACUACUGUAAGUUGCUCUGGAUAAGAGCGUCUGCUAAAUUCCUAAAA
rfam:Salmo salar isolate Sally breed double haploid chromosome ssa22, whole genome shotgun sequence.